UGGGGAAUAUUGCACAAUGGGCGCAAGCCUGAUGCAGCAACGCCGCGUGAACGAUGAAGGUCUUCGGAUCGUAAAGUUCUGUUGCAGGGGAAGAUAAUGACGGUACCCUGUGAGGAAGCCCCGGCUAACUACGUGCCAGCAGCCGCGGUAAUACGUAUGUUGCGAGCGUUAUCCGGAAUUAUUGGGCUUAAAGGGCAUCUAGGCGGUAAGACAAGUUGAAGGUGAAAACCUGUGGCUCAACCAUAGGCUUGCCUACAAAACUGUUGAACUAGAGUACUGGAAAGGUGGGUGGAACUACACGAGUAGAGGUGAAAUUCGUAGAUAUGUGUAGGAAUGCCGAUGAUGAAGAUAACUCACUGGACAGAAACUGACGCUGAAGUGCGAAAGCUAGGGGAGCAAACAGG
rnacentral:rRNA from 1 species